UGGCGCACGGGUGAGUAACACGUGACUAACCUACCCUUGACUGGGGGAUAACCUAGGGAAACCUGGGCUAAUACCCGCAUAAUACCCACGGGUCAGAGGAGCAAUUCGCUUAAGGAGGGGGUCGCGGCCGAUUAGUUAGUUGGCGGGGUAAUGGCCCACCAAGACUAUGAUCGGUAUCCGGCCUGAGAGGGCGCACGGACACACUU
rnacentral:rRNA from 1 species